rfam:Gymnopus luxurians FD-317 M1 unplaced genomic scaffold GYMLTscaffold_4, whole genome shotgun sequence.
GCUUCCUUAGCUCAGUCGGUAGAGCGCGAGUCUCAUAGUAUGAGGAGUUUACGGUACUCUUUAAUCUCGAGGUCGCAAGUUCGAGCCUUGCAGGGAGCA